GGGGAUGUGGUCCAAUGGUUAGGAUACUGCUCGGUUGGUACCGCUUUGCAGUACUGUCGUUGGGAGCGUACACGCUUCCUCACGCGGGGUGACCCGGAGCAGUGAUGAUGGUUCAAAUCACGCCAUCUCCA